CGAUAGUUUUAGUACUAUCGCCACUAUCGUUUAAUUGAUAGCGUAUUCUCUUUCUUAGCGCUUUUGACAUUCGCUCGUAUUGGUUGAAACUUGGCAGCGUUAUUUCUGAAAGCGCUAUUUUUGAUUUUAAGCGUGAAAAUGGCUGAAGAUACAUUGCCGUCUAAAGAACCAAAAACUUCCGAAGUGUGGAAUUUCUUUAAAAAAACAAGCGACACAAAAUUUGAAAAAUAUGCUCCUCUAUCGCUUGUUCAAGCAGCACUGCUUCAUCAAUCGUCAACCACUUGCAGCAGUGGUUCAGUGCAAAGAUUUGUUAGUGCAUAUUUCACUCUCGAAUUUAAAUAUGAUUCGAACUCCGGGCGCAAAAAAAAAUUGAUGCCGCACUGGUAAGGUGGAUCAAAAACAGAGUACAACAAAAGUCGAUGUAAUCCUGAAGAAGAGGCAGUACUUGGAGCAAGUCAACUCAGAGCCAAACACAAACCCGCUACUGUAUUGGAAGGUGUUACGAAAUCAGCUUGAAUCAGAUCUUCCUGAUUUGGCAAAAAAGUUUUUUUAUAUCCCGGCAUCAUCUGUAGAGUCUGAAGGCACUUUCAGUAAAGCGGGCUUAAUUGUUAGCGAUAGGCGAUCGAGUUUAAAGCCAAAAACAGUCGAUGUGUUGGUAUUCUUACAAAAAAUUUCAACGAUUUGUAAAAUAAACAAAUUUAUAAAAGCAAGACAACGAAAAAUAAAUGGAUUUGAAAAAAUAACAUAAAAUGGGUCGAUACUAUCGAUAGUAUCGAUGGUCACAAUUAAGACUAUCGU